rnacentral:lncRNA from 1 species
ACCGACGCCAGCGAGUUAGGCGGCUCCUAGGCGGCCUGGAAGGAUCUAGGCGGCGCCUUGGCGGCCUGGAAGGAUCUAGGCUGCGCCAUUGUGGCCUGGAAGGAUUUAGGCGGCGCCUAGGUGACCUGGAAGGAUCUAGGCUGCGCCAUUGUGGCCUGGAAGGAUUUAGGCGACGCCUAGGUGACCUGGAAGGAUCUAGGCGGCGCCUAGGAGGCCUGGGCUGAUCUAGGCGGCCUGGGAGGAUGUAGGCGGCUCCUAGGCGGCCUGGGAGGAUCUAGGUGGCCUGGGCGGGUCGUGUCCAUAGUUAUAAUCAACUUAGGCAUCCAUAGUUUUCCAAAGAUUUACAAGCAGCAAAACAGAGAAAAGACGCGAAUCAUGGAGAGUUACCAAUCCUUCAAUCUGAACAACUCUGAGAGGGGAAGAAACCUCUUCUGUAGCUGCCACCUGAAGAAAGGAUCUUGCCACCGCUGUACAAUCAACAAAACAAAACCAAAUUUUCACAAAGAAGAAAAACAAACGCAUUCAAAUUUACAGAUAAAAAUACAGAUAGAGAAUUGUACGAACUGGUUGCCACGUUGUAAUUUCACGGAGAGAGCAAAGAAGAGGAGAGACAGAGCAAUAGUAUAAGAUGGGAAGCUUUGUCUCUCACGGGUGCGGAGGAACCUCUGUGUAUGGUGAAUGUGAAGAUGAUUGCUAAACCCUAGUUGUCGAAGGACUGGAAAAUUGGGCCUUGCUCACCCAUGCCUUUCUGCUUUAUUGAUUUCUUUCUAGUAUUAGAAGCCUAAUGUUACUGUCUAAUAAAGUCACUUAGAAAAUCCUUGCAUCUUCUGCUCUGCAACUACAUGCCUAUAAUUUUUUUUAUUUGUUUAAAUAUUUUGACUGUACAAGUGGAAUAGCACUGUAGGGGUGGACGCUGCUUUAGACUAUGUGAAUGAGUUUGAUAUUGAGGAGGAGGUAAUAGUACGGGCCAAUGAAAUCUUCUUCAACAGAUUCAAAGAAAAUUUUGGUUGAAAUUUUGUACACCUUAUUUUGGAGGCUUGUAGUGUAGAUAUGCAUAAUCCUUAUGGCUUUGGUGAUGUCAAAAGAAGCAUACAAAAUUGUUUAUUCCAAUUCCGGAAUGAAAGGGAAGACACCUUCAACUAGUUUUAGCCUUUUAAUUAAUUAGUUUUUUUCUUACACAGAAUCCAAUAAACUAUUUUAAUCCAAUUCGUGCGUAUUGUUUAUGCAAUUGAGAUUGGCAGGUAACUUGAUUUACCAUGUUUUCCUGUCUCUUUUGCAUUUAUAACCUUUUUAAUUAUUAUGUUUUAAUUUUUUGCUGAAAGAUGAGUAUAUAGGUACUGUUGAUGGCUAUAUAGGUAAUGUGAUCCCAAAUUGUUCUCUUGAGAAAAUACUCAACAGUAAUAGCUUAUUAUGUUAAUGGGAAAGCUGUUUCAAAUAGAUUGUUUGAACCUUUGAUUGUUGCUAAAAUUGUUGAUGGUUCCAAUUAGGCAGAAACACAAUAGUCCAAUCUGACAGG